rnacentral:rRNA from 1 species
AUUGAACGCUGGCGGCAUGCCUUACACAUGCAAGUCGAACGGCAGCACGGACUUCGGUCUGGUGGCGAGUGGCGAACGGGUGAGUAAUGUAUCGGAACGUACCUUUCAGUGGGGGAUAACGUAGCGAAAGUUACGCUAAUACCGCAUAUUCUGUGAGCAGGAAAGCAGGGGAUCGCAAGACCUUGCGCUGAUUGAGCGGCCGAUAUCAGAUUAGCUAGUUGGUGGGGUAAAGGCCUACCAAGGCUACGAUCUGUAGCGGGUCUGAGAGGAUGAUCCGCCACACUGGAACUGAGACACGGUCCAGACUCCUACGGGAGGCAGCAGUGGGGAAUUUUGGACAAUGGGGGCAACCCUGAUCCAGCCAUGCCGCGUGAGUGAAGAAGGCCUGGUGUAAG